GUCUAUGGUCAUGCUACCCCGAACGAGCCUGAUCCCAUCUGAUCUUGGAAGCUAAGCAGGGUCGGGCUGGUUAGUACUUGGAUAGGAGGCCACCUAGAAAGACCGGGUGAUGUAGGCA
rnacentral:rRNA from 1 species